rnacentral:rRNA from 1 species
GAUGAACGCUGGCGGCGUGCCUAAUACAUGCAAGUCGAGCGAACGGACGAGAAGCUUUCUUCUCUUAUGUUAGCGGCGGACGGGUGAGUAACACGUGGAUAACCUACCUAUAAGACUGGGAUAACUUCGGGAAACCGGAGCUAAUACCGGAUAAUAUUUUGAACCGCAUGGUUCAAAAGUUAAAGACGUUCUUGCUGUCACUUAUAGAUGGAUCCGCGCUGCAUUAGCUAGUUUGUAAGGUAACGUCUUACCAAGGCAACGAUGCAUAGCCGACCUGAGAGGGUGAUCGGCCACACUGGAACUGAGACACGGUCCAGACUCCUACGGGAGGCAGCAGUAGGGAAUCUUCCGAAAUGGGCGAAAGCCUGACGGAGCAAAGCCGCGUGAGAGAUGAAGGUCUUCGGAUCGUAAAACUCUGUUAUUAGGGAAGAAAAUAUGUGUAAGUAACUGUGCACAUCUUGACGGUAACUAAUAAGAAAGCCACGGCUAACUACGUG